rnacentral:rRNA from 1 species
UGGGGAAUCUUGGACAAUGGGCGCAAGCCUGAUCCAGCCAUGCCGCGUGAGUGAUGAAGGCCUUAGGGUUGUAAAGCUCUUUUGCCGGGGACGAUAAUGACGGUACCCGGAGAAUAAGUCCCGGCUAACUUCGUGCCAGCAGCCGCGGUAAUACGAAGGGACCAAGCGUUGUUCGGAUUUACUGGGCGUAAAGGGCGCGUAGGCGGCAAUUCAAGUCAUCUGUGAAAUCUCCGGGCUUAACUCGGAACGGUCAGAUGAUACUGCUUUGCUAGAGUGCAGAAGGGGCAAUCGGAAUUCUUGGUGUAGCGGUGAAAUGCGUAGAUAUCAAGAGGAACACCUGAGGUGAAGACGGGUUGCUGGGCUGACACUGACGCUGAGGCGCGAAAGCCAGGGGAGCAAACGGGAUUAGAUACCCACGUAGUCCCUGAGCGGGCUGGCAAGGCGCAU